rnacentral:lncRNA from 1 species
GUUUUGCUAAAUUACUUAGGCUGACCUGGAACUUGUGGUCCUCCUGCCUCAGCCUCCCAAACUGCUGGGUUUACAAGCAUGCACCACUGCACCCAGGUGACCCUAUGGCUUCUUUACCCUUGUUUAAGAGUGCUUCAGAAUCCAAAUCAAGCUUGCUUAGACUGAUGAAUUCACAUUGACUUUUGGGUAAGAAUCUAAUCAGAACAGUAGAUUAUAGCUUCCUGUGUGUUUCUGCCUGAUCAAUAAACAGUUUUCACUUUCUCCCAACAGGAUUAUAGAGUAUGAGUAUGACCCCUUUUCCUAGCACUGUAUUUGUGUUCUUGCUGAUUUUCUAGACUUAACUCUGCCUGCCUACAUACAUCCAUAGAAUUCAGAUGCUUUGACUUGCAUUUUGAAACCAUCUGGUUUCUUGACUCUGCUUUGGUUUAAAGACACAAAUGUAUUAACUGAAGCUCCAACUUUAACCCUGUUUGUAUGUAAACCCUUGAGUUGAUUUCACAUCGUGGCCUCUGUCGCUCUUCAUACUUAAUUCUUGUGAAAUCAGGCAUGAUCUAGCUAGCUAUUAGUAAAAUAUUUGGAUGGUAAUUUUUUAUCUUUUUUUUUAAACUAAGUUCUAUAGCUUUCUAAAACUAAGUGCUCACUGUUGGAUAGCACUCGGUAACCUAAUUUUUAGAAAAUUAGAAGCCUAAGGUUUUGUUAAAAUAGAAAAAGAUUUUGACAUCAAGACAACUCAUGGCACUGUGUCUACACUUAAUUUGCUUUAGAUAGAUAAUUGCAUAAUAGAAUUUAUCCCAAGACUUGUCAAAGGAGGUAGAAGAAUGGCUGAUGAGAUCAUCUCAUAAUUUUGUCCUCAAUCUAAACCUGCAUAAAUAUUAGACAUAGAGAGGCCUAAAGUAGUUGAGAACUCCUUUAUUUAGCUAAGAUUGCUUUUUAUCUUGUUUCAUGUCCUAUCUUAUAAUUUUUAAAUGAAAUUAUGCUCCUUAAAUUUUCAUAAUUUUCCAUUUGUGUAU